rnacentral:tRNA from 1 species
AAGGAUUUAAGUUAAAUAAAAACUAGAAACCUUCAAAGUUUCAAAUAAAGAAAAAAAUAUCUUUAAACCUUA